AGAGUUUGAUCCUGGCUCAGGACGAACGCUGGCGGCGUGCUUAACACAUGCAAGUCGAACGGAAAGGCCCUUCGGGGUACUCGAGUGGCGAACGGGUGAGUAACACGUGGGUGAUCUGCCCUGCACUCUGGGAUAAGCCUGGGAAACUGGGUCUAAUACCGGAUAGGACCACACACUUCAUGGUGAGUGGUGCAAAGCUUUUGCGGUGUGGGAUGAGCCCGCGGCCUAUCAGCUUGUUGGUGGGGUAAUGGCCCACCAAGGCGACGACGGGUAGCCGGCCUGAGAGGGUGACCGGCCACACUGGGACUGAGAUACGGCCCAGACUCCUACGGGAGGCAGCAGUGGGGAAUAUUGCACAAUGGGCGCAAGCCUGAUGCAGCGACGCCGCGUGAGGGAUGACGGCCUUCGGGUUGUAAACCUCUCUCAGUAGGGACGAAGCGAAAGUGACGGUACCUACAGAAGAAGGACCGGCCAACUACGUGCCAGCAGCCGCGGUAAUACGUAGGGUCCGAGCGUUGUCCGGAAUUACUGGGCGUAAAGAGCUCGUAGGUGGUUUGUCGCGUUGUUCGUGAAAACUCACAGCUUAACUGUGGGCGUGCGGGCGAUACGGGCAGACUAGAGUACUGCAGGGGAGACUGGAAUUCCUGGUGUAGCGGUGGAAUGCGCAGAUAUCAGGAGGAACACCGGUGGCGAAGGCGGGUCUCUGGGCAGUAACUGACGCUGAGGAGCGAAAGCGUGGGUAGCGAACAGGAUUAGAUACCCUGGUAGUCC
rnacentral:rRNA from 1 species